GACGAACGCUGGCGGCGUGCUUAACACAUGCAAGUCGAACGGAAAGGCCCUGCUUUUGUGGGGUUCUCGAGUGGCGAACGGGUGAGUAACACGUGAGUAACCUGCCCUUCACUUUGGGAUAACUUCAGGAAACUGGGGCUAAUACCGGAUAGGAUCCCCUGCUGGAUGGUGAGGGUGGGAAAUUUUCGGCGGGUGGGGCUGGACUCGCGGGUGAUCAUCUUGUUGGUGGGGUAGGGGAUUACCAAGGCUUUGACGGGUAGGCGGCCUGUGAGGGGGGCCGGAGACAUUGCGCCUGAGAGACGCACCAGACUGAUACGGGAGGCAACAGGGGGAAAUAUGGCACAGUGGGCGGGCGCGUGUUACAGAAGCCCCGCGGGCGGGAAGACGGUUUGCGGGGUGUAAACCGCUUUCGCUUGAGACGCCGCGUGAGUGACGGUACCGGGUGAAGAAGCACCGGCUAACUACGUG
rnacentral:rRNA from 1 species